rfam:Xenopus laevis strain J chromosome 9_10L, whole genome shotgun sequence.
UUAUGAUGAAUUAAACCUGAAAUAUAGCUGGAAUUACCGUCAGACUGUAGGUGGUGAUACUGGUUGCUCUGAAG